rnacentral:rRNA from 1 species
CAAUAGCGUAUAUUAAAGUUGUUGCGGUUAAAAGCUCGUAGUUGGAUUUCUGCUGAGGACGAUCGGUCCGCCCUCUGGGUGAGCAUUGACUCGGCCUUGGCAUCUUCUUGGAGAACGCUACUGCACUUGACUGUGUGGUGCGGUAUCCAGGACUUUUACUUUGAGGAAAUUAGAGUGUUUCAAGCAGGCGCACGCCUUGAAUACAUUAGCAUGGAAUAAUAGGAUAGGACCUUGGUUCUAUUUUGUUGGUUUCUAGAGCUGAGGUAAUGAUUAAUAGGGAUAGUUGGGGGCGAUUCGUAUUGCCGGGCCGAGAGGUGAAAUUCUCGGAUUCUGGUAAGACGAACUUAUGCGAAAGCAUUCACCAAGGAUGUCUUCUUUAAUUCAAGAACGAAAGUU